rnacentral:rRNA from 1 species
AAUCAGCAUGGAAAGAAGACCCUAUUGAGCUUAACUCUAGUCCGACUUUGUGAAAUGACUUCAGAGGUGUAGGAUAAGUGGGAGCCAAAAGGCGAAAGUAAAAUACUACCUCUUUUAACAGUAUUUUACUUAUUUCGUAAAUCGGAGACGGGGCACUACCCCUCUUUUUAGACCCAAGGCUCACUUCGCGGGCUGAUCCGAGCUAAAGACAUUGUCGAUGAGGAGUUUCGCUGAGAUGGCACAUCUGUUAAAAGAUAAUGCAGGUGUCCUAAGAUGAGCUCAACAAGAACAAAAAUUUCGUGUGGAACAGAAGAGUAAAAGCUCGUUUGAUUCUGAUUUAUAGUGCAAAUACGAACCUUGAAAGCGUGGCCUAACGAUCCUUCAGACCUUUGAAAUUUGAAGCUAGAGGUGUCAAAAAAGUUACCACAGGGAUAACUAGUUUGUGGCAGCCAAGCGUUCAUAACAACGUUGCUUUUUUAUACUUCGAUGUCGACUCUUCCUAUCAUUGUAAAGCAAAUUCACGAAGUGUCGGAUUUUUCACCCACCAAUAGGAAAUGUGAGCUGGAUUAUGACUAAAUGUCGACAGGCUAGUUUUAUCCUAUUGAUGAUAGUGUCAUCGUAGUAAUUCAACCUAGUACGAGAGAAACCAUUGAUUCACACAAUUUGUCAUCGCGCUAGGUUGAAAAGCCAGUGGCGUGAAGCUACCAUGCGUUGGAUUAUGACUGAAUGACUCUAAGUUGGAAUUUGGGCUAGAAGUGAUGCGUGCAUCCGCCAUUCACUUGCUGACCCGCGGUAGGGGCCUCACGGCCC